rnacentral:rRNA from 1 species
UACGGAGGGUGCAAGCGUUAUCCGGAUUCACUGGGUUUAAAGGGAGCGCAGGCGGAUUGGUAAGUCAGUGGUGAAAUACCUGAGCUUAACUCGGGAACUGCCAUUGACACUACUGGUCUUGAAUAUUGUUGAGGUAUGCGGAAUGGGUCAUGUAGCGGUGAAAUGCAUAGAUAUGACCCGGAACACCAAUUGCGAAGGCAGCAUGCUAAACAAAGAUUGACGCUGAGGCUCGAAAGCGUGGGGAUCAAACAGG